ACGGGAGGCAGCAGUGGGGAAUAUUGCGCAAUGGGGGAAACCCUGACGCAGCAACGCCGCGUGAAGGAAGAAGGUUUUCGGAUUGUAAACUUCUGUCGCAAGGGAAGAAGACAGUGACGGUACCUUGUGAGAAAGUCACGGCUAACUACGUGCCAGCAGCCGCGGUAAUACGUAGGUGACGAGCGUUGUCCGGAUUUACUGGGUGUAAAGGGCGCGUAGGCGGGUAAUCAAGUCAGAUGUGAAAUACCGGGGCUUAACUCCGGGGCUGCAUUUGAAACUGAAUAUCUUGAGUGUCGGAGAGGAAAGCGGAAUUCCUAGUGUAGCGGUGAAAUGCGUAGAUAUUAGGAGGAACACCGGUGGCGAAGGCGGCUUUCUGGACGAUAACUGACGCUGAGGCGCGAAAGUGUGGGGAGCAAACAGGAUUAGAUACCCUGGUA
rnacentral:rRNA from 2 species